UAUGGGGGGUGCGAGCGUUGUCCGGAAUCACUGGGCGUAAAGGGCGCGUAGGUGGCUUUGUAAGUUUGCGGUGAAAGCCCGGGGCUCAACCCCGGGUCUGCCGUGGAUACUGCAAGGCUUGAGUACUGUAGAGGCAGGUAGAAUAUCGGGUGUAGCGGUGGAAGUGCGUAGAGAUCCGAUAGAAGACCGGUGGCGAAGGCGGCCUGCUGGGCAGUAACUGACACUGAGGCGCGACAGCGUGGGGAGCAAACAGG
rnacentral:rRNA from 1 species